AUUAUGUCUUGCUUUGUUAAGGUCGUGUUGUAGUCAACAUAGCUUGUGUGGUUUUGUAUAGCAAAGCAUUUUGAUAUUCUCUCUUGGGAGCUUUUUUUUGGUCCUAAGGUUCAGAGUUUUCCUUGUUAAGUCUAUAUUUGACAACGAUUCAAUAAUUUAAUGAUAAUGAUAGUGUUAUGCCAUUUAAUUACUCUUAUGUUUUGUUACUGAGUUGAGUCUGAACCUACUUGAGGUGUUAAGUCUAUAUUUGACAAUGAUUCAACAAUUUAAUGAUAAUGAUAGUGUUAUGCCAUUUAAUUACUCUUAUGUUUUGUUACUGAGUUGAGUCUGAACCUACUUGAGGUGAAUGAGCUUUUUUCACCCCCAGCUUGAAAGGUGGCUAUGGGGUUUUUUGUUGACACUCCACUCUGAACUGCUGAGUGAUGAGUUUGAGGCAGUUCUUUAAGUUAUUUAAUUUAUCGAAUUAAAAAGGACAGCCCGGUGCACUAAGCUCCCGCUAUGCGCAGGGUCCGGGGAAGGACCAGACCACAAGGGUCUAUUGUACGCAACCUUACCCUGUAUUUCUGCAAGAAGUUAUUUUCACGGUUCGAACUCGUGACCUCCUGGUCACAUGACAAUACUAAUGCCCCCUUCAAUUUGCCGAAUUAGUCACAGAAAUGAAAGAUUAUUUUGAACGUG
rnacentral:lncRNA from 1 species